GAUGAACGCUGGCGGCGUGCUUAACACAUGCAAGUCGAGCGAAGCACUUUGGAAAGAUUCUUCGGAUGAUUUCCUUUGUGACUGAGCGGCGGACGGGUGAGUAACGCGUGGGUAACCUGCCUCAUACAGGGGGAUAACAGUUAGAAAUGACUGCUAAUACCGCAUAAGACCACGGUACCGCAUGGUACAGUGGUAAAAACUCCGGUGGUAUGAGAUGGACCCGCGUCUGAUUAGGUAGUUGGUGGGGUAACGGCCUACCAAGCCGACGAUCAGUAGCCGACCUGAGAGGGUGACCGGCCACAUUGGGACUGAGACACGGCCCAGACUCCUACGGGAGGCAGCAGUGGGGAAUAUUGCACAAUGGAGGAAACUCUGAUGCAGCGACGCCGCGUGAAGGAUGAAGUAUUUCGGUAUGUAAACUUCUAUCAGCAGGGAAGAAAAUGACGGUACCUGACUAAGAAGCCCCGGCUAACUACGUG
rnacentral:rRNA from 1 species